CAAACUAUUAUUAUUUCAUUUCUCCAAACCCUGAUAAAAUCACAAUUUUCCCCUAAAUGUUCUUACCAUCCAAACACCCUCUCCCUCUCUCUCUAGGGUUUUAUCUGUAUCGCUCAAAAUCCCCCACUUUCUCGCGUUUUCCCGGAAAAUUUCGCACUUUCAAAUCCUCAUCAUGAGGUGUUAGAAAGCUAUGCCGCCUCAUUGGGACCCGCCUACUGUGUUCGUCUAGAGCUGCUGAAGGAUUUGAAUUGCAGCCGGUUCGAAGAUCUCUGUGAUGAACAACGAAAUCGGAUUGGACGGGAAAUCGGAUGCCACUGAAGAGGCCGCGGAAGCUAGAGCUAGGGUUUCGCCAAUGGAGCUCGAUUCGGGGAGUGAGGCUGGCGGAAGAUCUGAGGAGGAUGGGGCUAGGGUUAGUACGGAGAGUGAAGGUGGAAAUGUGGAUAAAGUGAUGGAAUCGAAGGGUUCUGGAAUUCAGGCGGAUAGAACUAGGGUGGAGAUUUCAUUCAAUGAUGAUGAAGAAGAUGUUUUCGACAUUUCGCGGGUCGAAAUUGAGGACGAUUCUGAUAAAUCUGAGGCUCACAAUGGUGAGCACCCGUCUUUGUUGUCUGAGUUUGAUGAGUUUGUAGCUAACGAGAAGAGUGGAAUGGCUCUCGGGACGAAGAGGGCGCUGAGCUACGGGUUCGACGUGGGUGACAUGGUGUGGGGGAAGGUAAAAUCUCAUCCGUGGUGGCCGGGACACAUAUUUAACGAGGCGUUGGCAACGUCUCAGGUGCGGCGGACACGGAGGGAAGGUCAUGUCUUGGUUGCUUUCUUUGGUGAUAAUAGUUACGGAUGGUUCGACCCGGCUGAACUCAUACCAUUUGAUCCCCACUACACUGAGAAAUCUCGGCAGACGAAUCACAGGGGUUUUCUGAAGGCUGUGGAGGAGGCUGUCGAUGAGGCGAAUCGUAGGUGUGAACUUGGUCUGGUUUGCAAAUGUAGGAAUGCCUAUAAUUUUCGGAAGACAAGUGUGCAAGGGUACUUUGUUGUUGAUGUGCCGGAUUAUGAGCCAGGAGCAGUGUAUUCGGAGAAUCAGAUAAGGAAGGCGAGGGAUAGUUUUAAGCCGAUUGAGAUGCUGUCUUUUGUAAAGCAGUUGGCUCUGUCAACACACGGUGAUGAUCAGAAGAGCCUCAGCUUUAAUAAGAGCAAGGCUACUGCCUUUUCUUUUCGCAAGGCUGUUUUUGAAGAGUAUGAUGAAACGUACGCUCAGGCAUUUGGUGCACAUCCAGGACGCCCUUCUCGUAGUCUAGUUCCAGCUCCAACUCGAGCUGCUUUGAGUGGUCCUUUGGUGAUUGCUGAGGUUCUGGGAGGGCAGAAGAGUGCCACAAAACCGAUGAAAGUCAAGGACCAUUCAAAGAGAGACAAAUACCUAUUUAAGCGGAGAGAUGAACCUGGGAACUCGAAAACCCAUCAAACUAGCCAGGGCCAAGCUAGUUCCUCAGCCCCAUCUGCCGUCUUGGAGGGGUCAAUAGCAGUAGAAGAUGAGAAUUAUAUGUUACAAAAGAGGGCUCCAGAUGUAUCUGGAAAAGAAGCUGCAAUCAUUGAUCAGGCGACAAAUAGCUCUCUCAUCCCCCAAGUUGUUACUGUUGAUGCAAAGCCAUCUCUUGCAAAGGGAAGGGGGGCUCUACAGGAAGUGAAAGAGGGAGAUGGAGAUGUAGGUCCUACAGCCACAGGAUAUGUAGAUUUAUUGGGGGAUGGGACCAAGCAACGUACAAUAGAUGGUACAUCACAACCUUUAAAGCAGGAAGGUGAGGGUGUAUUAGAGUUUAAAUACGAAGAGAGUGAAAAAUUGUCUGGAUCAUAUGAAAAAUUUCAACAACCUUCGAGUUCUUUGAAAAAAGUGGAAGUAGGCUAUGAACGUGGUGUUGGAGAUCCUUUGCCAAUUGAGGCAAAGAGUUUAGGUGGGAAGAAAGCAGCUGGUGGAGUGAAAAAACCAAAGGUUCUUAAACGGACUGCAGAGGACUUGAACAUUAAUGACUGUAUGAUGGGGGAUAAAAAGAAAAAGAAAAGGAAGAAACAGUUAGAUGCGGAAGCUAGCGUCAGAAAUCAACAGAAGCCUUUGACUUCUGGAAAGGUACUGCCCUCAGGGAGUAAAGCAGCAGGAAAUGCCAAUCAUGUAGGUUUGGCUGCAAGAGAGGAUACCCAGGUUGAACAUAAGAAGGAUGUCACUUCCAGUAAUAACUUGUCUGAAUCUGUUGGAAAAUUACCAUUUCGUGGCCUGGAAAAUGUGCAGCUUGAUCUACCACAACUGGUAAGCGAUUUGCAAGCCCUUGCCCUUGAUCCUUUUCACGGUAUUGAGACAAACAGCCCUGCAACUGUUCAGCAGUUCUUUCUGCACUUCAGGUCCCUUGUCUACCAGAAAAGUUUGGUUCUGUCACCACCCUCAGAGACUGAACCUGUUGAAGUUCGCUCCUCUAAAUCUUCAUCUGGUGUGAAAGCCUCUGAUAUAUCUCCUACUGAGCAAGUUAGAGAUUUAUCGUCCUCAAAGGCAGCAAAACCCGUGUUCAGAUCCGACGAUCCUACCAUAGCUGGGCGGAAACGUGCUCCAUCUGACCGUCAAGGAGAUAUUGCAGCUAAGAGGUACAAGAAAAUUACUGAUAUAAGAACAUUGGCUGCAGAAAAGAAGGCUAUUCAGAGACCUCCUAUAGACUCCAAGCGUAUAGAGGCGAAAGAAUCAGCAACACCGGUUCUGCGGAAGUCACUCAAGCCAGGUUUUGCAAAGAAAACGGACCCUGCAUCAAAGGCAGUUGAGCCUACAAUGCUGGUGUUGAAGUUCCCUCCCAAAAUCUCUCUCCCAUCACUUGCAGAACUGAAGGCAAAGUUUGCCCGAUUUGGGCCUAUGGAUCAGUCCGGUCUCCGUGUCUUUUGGAAGUCCUCGACAUGCCGGGUUGUCUUUCUGUACAAAUCUGAUGCACAAGCAGCAUUUAAGUUUGCUACUGCAAACAGCUCCCUUUUCGGCAACUUUAGUGUGAGGUGUCAAAUUCGAGAAGUGGGCGGUCCUGAAGCUCCAGAGUUAGGCAAGGGUGACAAUCCCAGGGAGACGCCACGGGCCAAGGAUCCAUCGGUUAUGCAAUCACCAGCAUUGGCCUCGGCACUCAGACAGCAGCAGCAGCAGCAGGCUCAACAGAGUGGAGUGCAGCUGAAGUCGAUUCUGAAGAAGUAUUCAGGCGAGGAGUCGGCAGGAGGGCAGGUAACCGGUGGGAAUGGAAAUAGUAAAGGGACUGCACGUGUAAAAUUCAUGUUGGGUGGGGAAGAAACUAGUAGGACUACUACUUCUGAUCAAUUCAUGAUGCCUGGUAAUAGAAAUAACAACUUCAACAAGAACAACAGUGCUAGUUUUGUGGACGUCGACGGUGCACCGUCUUCUACUACUUCCACUGCUACGGAUUUUAAUACAACUAGGAACUUUCAAAAGGUUAAUCCUCCUCCAACUUUUUCAUCACCAUUGCCUCCUCUCCUCCCUAAUCCUCCCGGCCCACCUCCACAAUAUGCCAAACCCCCACCCCAUAGCAAUUUUCCGCAGCAUUCCGAAAUGGCACCACCCAGAAAUACUAGUCACAAUCUUAACGCACCACCCACAAGCACGGUCGAUAUUUCGCAGCAGAUGCUUAGCUUGUUGACUAGGUGCAGCGACGUUGUAUCCAACGUGAAGGGCUUGCUCGGCUAUGUGCCUUACCAUCCUCUCUGAUGAAGCCGCCUCGAAAAUUUAUUACGCCAUAAGGCCUCGUCAUCAACAAGAUUCGAACACAGCAUUUCACGGCUCGAAAGCUUUGCUUGCUUCCGAGUUUUAAAGGACAUGUGGACGUGGGGCGAAAGUUGUUAAGAGGGAGAGAUGCCAAACCAAAGAGAGUUGUAGACUCGGCGGUGGGUUUGACUUUUGGCCCGUUAGCCAGAAUACAGCACAACGGGAGAGCUUUGUGUCCGAAUGUCGUAUAAGGCAUUCGGAGACCUUUCCUUUUGGACAUAACUCGUCGUCAACGUUUAUAAUGGGGCGGACAAAAGUAGGAAAUUGAAGAGGACAUAGUGGAUGGGAUGCUAUUUAUUUUGGAACUCUUCAGAUGUUACCCAUUGAUGGAAACAAUGAUUGUUAAGGUGGA